rnacentral:rRNA from 1 species
GACGAACCACCCAACCGUUAUUCGGAAUUACUGGGCGUAAAGGGCGCGUAGGCGGCCUGUUAAGUCGAACGUGAAAUCCCCGGGCUCAACCCGGGAACUGCGUCCGAUACUGGCAGGCUUGAAUCCGGGAGAGGGAUGUGGAAUUCCAGGUGUAGCGGUGAAAUGCGUAGAUAUCUGGAGGAACACCGGUGGCGAAGGCGGCAUCCUGGACCGGUAUUGACGCUGAGGCGCGAAAGCCAGGGGAGCAAACGGG